CGAACGCUGGCGGCGUGCCUAACACAUGCAAGUCGAGCGGUCCGGCAUUUAACAUUGAGUAUUCAGAUGAAUCUGAGUAUUGAAUGUUAAAUGUCGGAUAGCGGCGGACGGGUGAGUAACGCGUGGGUAACCUGCCUUAUACAGGGGGAUAACACAGGGAAACUUGUGCUAAUACCGCAUAAUAUCAUUGUAUGGCAUCAUGUGAUGAUCAAAGGAGCAAUCCGGUAUAAGAUGGACCCGCGUCCAAUUAGCUAGUUGGUGGUGUAACGGACCACCAAGGCGACGAUUGGUAGCCGAACUGAGAGGUUGAUCGGCCACAUUGGGACUGAGACACGGCCCAGACUCCUACGGGAGGCAGCAGUGGGGAAUAUUGCACAAUGGGGGAAACCCUGAUGCAGCAACGCCGCGUGAAGGAUGAAGGUUUUCGGAUCGUAAACUUCUUUGAUGAGGGACGAAAAAUGACGGUACCUCAAGAACAAGCCACGGCUAACUACGUG
rnacentral:rRNA from 1 species